CACGUAGGGGGGCGAGCGUUGUCCGGAAUCAUUGGGCGUAAAGAGCUCGUAGGCGGCUCGGUAAGUCGGGUGUGAAACCCCCAGGCUCAACCUGGGGACGCCACCCGAUACUGCUGUGGCUAGAGUCCAGUAGGGGAGUGUGGAAUUCCCGGUGUAGCGGUGAAAUGCGCAGAUAUCGGGAGGAACACCAGCGGCGAAGGCGGCACUCUGGGCUGGAACUGACGCUGAGGAGCGAAAGCGUGGGUAGCAAACAGG
rnacentral:rRNA from 1 species